AUUUAUCAUUUCUUCUUCGUUAUGGAGAAUGACUAACGUUAGUUCUGAAAACGAACGAUUCUCCCUCUCAUAAUUUUACCCUAUUAAUUCAGGGUGUUGUGGAGGAUGUGGACUGUGGAGCAGACCUACCCAUCCAGCACAGCUAUGAUCAAAGCACAGCUCCAGCCCUUCAACCCUGCCCCGGACCGGGUCGAAGCCUGACUGCACAGAUGGUACCUCUGGACCUCAGGAGGAUACCAAUGUUCUGACCAUUCUGCCUGCCCUGACCCUGAGCCUGUCUGUGGUUCUGUCCCUGGUUAACACUGCCUUGGAUUACUGACUUCUGCCAGCCCUGGACCUGCCCUUUGCCUGCCUUGUUUUGUAAUAAACAUCUGAAAUUCGAA
rnacentral:lncRNA from 1 species